rnacentral:lncRNA from 1 species
ACACCUUCCCCUGUAGCACAGAGAGAGAAAAAACAAAAACAAACAUCUUCUGUACUCUGUCUUCUGAGAAAGAAACACUUUUUUAUUCUGAGACAGGGUCUCAUGCUGUUGCCCAGGCUGCAGUGCACUGGUGUGAUCACGGCUCACUGCAGCCUCGACCUCCUGGGCUCAAAGGAUCCUCCUGCCUCAGCCUCCUCAGUACCUGGGACUACAGGCAUGCACCACCACAUGCAGCUAAUUUUUGUAUUUUCUUCGAGACAGGGUCUCGCCAUGUUGCCCAGGAGGUCAAGGCUACUGUGAGCCGUGAUCAAAACACCACACUCCAUCUAUCCUGGGUGACAAAGCAAGACCGGGUCUCCAAAAAAAAAAGAAAAAAAGAUUCCAGCAGGAAAGGGAACUGUCACCCAAAGGCGAAGGGUCUGCGGUCUGACCAAAGCGUCUUCCCGGAGCCUUCAGUGCUCUGUUCAGGGGGAGCCGGACGGAGCCAGGCAGUGCCUGCGACUCCAGAGAGCAGCGCUUCUGACUCGGGAAAGGCUGCUGCCAAGGGUGGAUUUUUUUACCAUAUGCAAGGAUGAAGAUGCUGGGUUUUUUUCUGUGGUUUUUGUUUGUUUUUUGUUUUUUGUGAGAGUCUCACUCUGUUGCCCAGGAUGGAGUACAAUGGUGCGAUCUCGGCUCACUGCAACCUCCGCCUCCUAGGUUCAAGCGAUUCUCCUGCCUCAGCCUCCCGAGUAGCUGGGAUUACAGGCAUGCGCCAGUAUGCUUGGCUAAUUUUUGCAUUUUUACUAGAGACAGGGUCUUACCAUGUUGGCCAGGCUGGUCUCGAACUCCUAACCUCAAAUGUCCUCCCACCUUGGCCUCCCCAUGAGCCACCGUGCCC